CCUACGGGGGGCAGCAGUAGGGAAUAUUGCGCAAUGGACGAAAGUCUGACGCAGCCACGCCGCGUGAGUGAAGAAGGCCUUCGGGUUGUAAAGCUCUGUCAUUCGGGAAAAACGGCUAUCCGGGGAAAGUUCGGGUAGCGUGAUGGUACCGAAGAAGGAAGCACCGGCAAACUCUGUGCCAGCAGCCGCGGUAAUACAGAGGGUGCAAGCGUUGUUCGGAAUUACUGGGCGUAAAGCGUGCGUAGUCGGUAUUGAGAGUCGCGGGUGAAAUCCCAGGGCUUAACCCUGGAACUGCCUGCGAGACCUCAGUACUAGAGUGUGAGAGGGGAUAGUGGAAUGCCAAGUGUAGCGGUGAAAUGCGUAGAGAUUUGGCGGAACACCGGUGGCGAAGGCGGCUAUCUGGCUCACAACUGACGAUCAGGCACGAAAGCGUGGGGAGCAAACAGGAUUAGAUACCCCGGUAGUC
rnacentral:rRNA from 1 species